UACGUAGGGGGCAAGCGUUGUCCGGAUUCAUUGGGCGUAAAGGGUGCGUAGGCGGCGCGGUAAGUCGGGUGUGAAAUCUCGGGGCUUAACUCCGAAACUGCAUUCGAUACUGCCGUGCUUGAGGACUGGAGAGGAGACUGGAAUUUACGGUGUAGCGGUGAAAUGCGUAGAUAUCGUAAGGAAGACCAGUGGCGAAGGCGGGUCUCUGGACAGUUCCUGACGCUGAGGCACGAAGGCCAGGGGGAGCAAACGGG
rnacentral:rRNA from 1 species